rnacentral:rRNA from 1 species
AUUGAACGCUGGCGGCAGGCCUAACACAUGCAAGUCGAACGGUAACAGGAAACAGCUUGCUGUUUCGCUGACGAGUGGCGGACGGGUGAGUAAUGUCUGGGAAACUGCCUGAUGGAGGGGGAUAACUACUGGAAACGGUAGCUAAUACCGCAUAACGUCGCAAGACCAAAGAGGGGGACCUUCGGGCCUCUUGCCAUCGGAUGUGCCCAGAUCGGAUUAGCUAGUAGGUGGGGUAACGGCUCACCUAGGCGACGAUCCCUAGCUGGUCUGAGAGGAUGACCAGCCACACUGGAACUGAGACACGGUCCAGACUCCUACGGGAGGCAGCAGUGGGGAAUAUUGCACAAUGGGCGCAAGCCUGAUGCAGCCAUGCCGCGUGUAUGAAGAAGGCCUUCGGGUUGUAAAGUACUUUCAGCGGGGAGGAAGGGAGUAAAGUUAAUACCUUUACUCAUUGACGUUACCCGCAGAAGAAGCACCGGCUAACUCCGUG